rnacentral:rRNA from 1 species
AUGCCAUUUACUAGGGCCAACGGAGUGGCGCGUUUACUUGUCAGUGUGGCUAAUAUUGAGUUCUUGCCGAAUGUGGUGCCUUGGACGUACGAUGGUGUUAUGUAUCAGUUGGACGUUCUGUAUGAGGAUCCUAAUUUGUUCGACGAGUUUGAGGAUGACAACCCUAUGGACAUGACCGAGGGAGGAGGUGCCCCGGGAAACCAGGACGAUUCGGCUAUGGGUGAUGAUAACGGGGCCAAGGGUCCGGUAGGUCCGUCUGAGUCUACUAAUAUUGCUCCUGCUAGUUCUUCUGGGGUUGCUCCGAUGUCCACGUUGCAGCUUGGGUCCUUGGGACCUUUCUCUGCUCCGCCUCGCCUUCGGGGUGUUGAUCCGGGUUCCGUGGAUCCCAUGGCUCCUCUUUGUGCGCCUACGGUUGAGGUGGGAGGUCCCGAGGGGCAGGCGGCCCUUCCCACAUCUCCUACUUUGAUGUUGCCUACGGUGGAUGGUGCAGCGCUUGCGGCCGUGGCUAGAGGUGAUGGGCAGGAGGCCCGGUCUCCCGUGAUACAGUCACCGCCGGCGCCCCCCGAGGACUCGGCGAUCUUCUCCACAUCGCCGCGCGCGGGAGGAGGGGUGGCCUCGCAGGUGGCCGCCAUCCCUCUUUGCCCCGAUGCGGUGGGCGGGUCAGGUGGUGCGCCCAUCUCCCCGGAUCCCUCUCCGGAGCGCCGUGCACAGGUCUCCCCCGCUCCUGCUGCCGGCGGUUCGCCCGUGGUCAGGACGCGGGUGUCGUCGCUGUGUUGUUCUCCUGCCCCGGUGGCUAAGGCCCGGGGUGUCGCUACUGGGGGAGGGGCAGGAGGCCUUUCCCCUAGCAGAGCUUCACGCGAGGAGGUCACCGCCUUUGGCGGUAUCCCGGACCCAGUCUCCCAGGGGAGGCGGGUCAGCGGGAGGCUGCAGGAGCAGCCGGACGUUGAUGACAUGCAGCUGAGGGCUGCUUUGAGAGCUGCCAAGCUGCGCAACAUCGAAUCCUCCACUGGUAUGUCGGUUGAUCAGUCCAAUUCCAUUUUGCAUUUUUCUGAUGCUGAAAUUAUUCAUAAUGCAAAUCAAAUAGGAGUUUCACUUGGUAACAAUGAGUUUGAGGUCUCUAGGUCGGUUAAUGACAUUCUUGAUUUGGAAGCUGAUCGUGCGGUAGAUAUGAUCCGUCACAUUGCUGCUAUUAAACUUAUGAACGACUCGGAGAUAGAGGCACUGGGGGUUAGGGUUCUUGAUGGCUUGUGUGCCGAUCUUGACCCUGCACUACCCGAGACGGAGGAGGAUACCAUUCCUGAGGUGUCCCUCUAUGUAGAUGAGCCCGAGGCGAUAGAAGCAGAGAAUGCCUGUGUUGACCAGGUUGAUGGUCACCAUAAGCCAAAGCGGACGUGGAAACGGAAGGUUUAUCCAGUCUCAGCUGCACGUAGGAGUUCUAGGAUCCGCACUGCAAAAAAAAUUUAUGAUGAUUUAUGA